GAAGUCGUUACUCCAACCCUUGUGGAGGAGGACGCCGAAGGUGGGGCUAAUGACUGGGGUAAAGUCGUAACAAGGUAGCCGUACCGGAAGGUGCGGCUGGAUCGCCUCCUAACAGGGAGACAAUAAAUUGAUUGUGAUGUCUAAGUUAUUUAUUCUUAGGCCGCAAUCCUGUCACCUUAAGGUCGAUCGGUACCUCAGAUUUUUGAAUUAGUUUUACGAUUGAUUCUUUGAUUUCAGUUCCUAAACUUGUCUAGGUCACACCCAACAAAGGUUUCUCCUGGGCCAUUAGCUCAGGUGGUUAGAGCGCACCCCUGAUAAGGGUGAGGUCCCUGGUUCAAGUCCAGGAUGGCCCAUUCGUUGUUGGGGGUAUAGCUCAGUUGGUAGAGCGCCUGCUUUGCAAGCAGGAUGUCAGCGGUUCGAGUCCGCUUACCUCCACUGAAAACUAUCCUGAUAACUAAAUUUCUGGAGAAAAAAAUUGUAGAUGUGGCUUAGAAUUGUCUAUUUGAAAAGAACCUAGCUUCUUGUCAUCUUUUUAUAGUUGAUAAAAUGCUGGGCUCGCAUGGAUUAUUUCCAUGAGAUUUCAGUAGAACCUUGAAAACUGCAUAGAUUAGAAAGAAUAAAGCAUCUCAUGGAUGCAUAGUUCUGUUUUUAUAAUUUAGCCUUAAAACUAAAUUAUUUAAUCCUAGAAUUCAUGUUUAAUUCUUGAGUAAUAGCCGAGCACAAUUGAUUUUGUGAUUGUAUUAAAGGUCAAGCUACAAAGGGCUCAUGGCGGAUACCUUGGCACACAGAGGCGAUGAA
rnacentral:misc_RNA from 1 species